UACGGGGGGGGCAAGCGUUGUUCGGAAUUACUGGGCGUAAAGGGCUCGUAGGUGGCCAACUAAGUCAGACGUGAAAUCCCUCGGCUUAACCGGGGAACUGCGUCUGAUACUGGAUGGCUUGAGUUCGGGAGAGGGAUGCGGAAUUCCAGGUGUAGCGGUGAAAUGCGUGGAGAUCGGGAAGAACAUCAGUGGCGAAGGCGGCCUGCUGGGCUGUUGCUGACGCUGAGGCGCGACAGCGUGGGGAGCAAACAGG
rnacentral:rRNA from 1 species